CUCAUCUCUGAAAAUCAGAGCGCCUUCAUCCCGGGGAAGUUGAUCUCUGAUAACUCUAUAAUUGCGUUUGAAUGUAUUCACCACAUCCAGUCGGUAAGAAACAAUACAAAUGGUCUUUGUGCUUACAAACUUGAUCUCUCCAAGGCCUAUGACAGGGUGGAUUGGGUGUUCUUGGAAAAGGCCUUGGCCAAAUGGGGCUUCUUGCCUUCCUGGAUUGCUCGGGUUAUGGCAUGUGUUUCAUCGGUGAAAUACUCGGUAAAAUUUAAUGGGAAACUGCUGGAGUCCUUCUCUCCGUCGAGGGGUCUCCGUCAAGGUGAUCCACUGUCUCCCUUCCUC
rnacentral:rRNA from 1 species